rnacentral:lncRNA from 1 species
UUACAACUAAACGACUCCUAAAUUUUGUUUAUGUGAACUAACUAUAUUUAGAAUUUAGAAGCACGUAUAUAAUAAUCAUUAAGGUAGUGUUUGGUUCAGGAACAAGGGGGGAAUAAGCUCUUGUUCCCCUCUUUAUUCCCAAACGUAAUGUUUGGUACCCGGGAACAGCAGUUCCAGGGUUUCAAGAACAAGCUGGUAUAAGACUGAAACUGAUGUUCCACCUUUUUCCUGGAACAAGCUUGUUUCUUGAUGAGAACAAGGUUAAUUAAAAUCUAAAUUUAAUUUUAAUGCCAGUAAAUUAUUAAUUAAUCUAAUUAAUAUAUUUAAAUGAUUAUUUAUUGCUUUAAUAAUUAAUUAAUUAAUUAAUUAUUUAUAAUUAAUUAAUAAUAAUUAGAUAAUUAUUAUAAUUAAUUUAUUAUUUAUAAUUAUUUAUUAAUAAUUAUUAAUAAUUAUUAUCCUUAAUAAUUAGAUAAUCGACAUUAUUAUUAAUUUAUUAUUUAUAAUUAAUUAUUGAUAAUUAGAUAAUUAUUAUUAUUAAUUUAUUACUAGUAAUUAAUUAUUAAUAAUUAUUAUUAUUUAUUAAUGAAUAUUAAUAAUAAUUAUUAUUAAUAAUUAGAUAAUCGAUAUUAUUAUUAUUAAAAAUUAGAUAAUCACUAUUAUUAAUAAUUAAUUAAUUAUUAUUAUUAUUAUUAAUUAUCAAUUAUUAUUAUUAUUAUUAAUUAGAUAUUCAAUAUUAUUAAUUUAUUAUUUAUAAUUAAUUAUUAAUAAUUAUUAAUACUCAUUAUUAUUUAUAAUUAAUUAUUAAUAAUUAAUUUAUUAUUUAUUUUUAAGUAAUAUUUUGAUGUUAAUUAAUUAUAUAAUAUAAUUUUAAUUUCAAAUUAUAACUUUUAUUUCUCUUGUUCCAAUCUAAUCAUCUAAAUACUAUUUAUCUUAUUCAUAACAACAACCUAAUUUUUAUCCAAACGCAAAAUUAGUCUAGUUCCUACUUAUACCUGAACUUAUAUUUAUUUCUGCAACUAGUAGUUCUUAUUUAUAUCCGAACCAAACACAGCCUAAAUUUCUUAGCAAAAUUUUCUUCAUAGGAAACGCAAAUAAAUUCACAUACACA